rnacentral:tRNA from 1 species
UCCCUGGUGGUCCAGUGGUUAGGACUCUGCACUUUUACUGCGGAGGGCUCUGGUUCAAUCCCUGGUCAGGGAA